rnacentral:rRNA from 1 species
UGGCGGACGGGUGAGUAAUGUCUGGGAAACUGCCUGAUGGAGGGGGAUAACUACUGGAAACGGUAGCUAAUACCGCAUAACGUCGCAAGACCAAAGAGGGGGACCUUCGGGCCUCCUUGCCAUCGGAUGUGCCCAGAUGGGAUUAGCUAGUAGGUGGGGUAACGGCUCACCUAGGCGACGAUCCCUAGCUGGUCUGAGAGGAUGACCAGCCACACUGGAACUGAGACACGGUCCAG